rnacentral:rRNA from 1 species
GGAUGCGAUCAUACCAGCACUAAGCACCGGAUCCCCAUCAGAACUCCGCAGUUAAGCGUUUGGCGAGAGUAGUACUAGGAUGGGUGACCUCCCCGGAAGUCCUCGUGUUGCAUCCC